UGCUCACCCGCCUUCUCCCUCUCUCUUUAUCUCUCUCCCUCGACCUUGCGCUGUGGAAUUGCUUCCAAAUAGGGUUGGGAUCUUGUCCUUCUUCAGGUAUCUGAUCGUGGGGGGAGAUCUCUUGGGCUGGGGAUGAGUCGGGGGAAGAAUUCGCUUAAAGGAGGGAGGAAAAGGCGGAGGGGCGAGAGCUCCGACGAUUCCGAUGAGGAUUUCGUCGUGGACGAGGAGGAGGAGGAAGAUGACGAGGAGGACGAGGAUUACGAUGAAGAUGAUUGUGAAGACUGCAGCGAUGCUGGCGAUGACGGCGAGGAGGAGGCGGAGAAUGAGGAGGAAGAUCGUGAUUUCAGCGGUUCGGAAGAUUCGGAUGGUUCAGGUGCGAGAACCCGAAAAAUCAAACAGAAAAAACCUGGAAGAAAAUUGUCAGGCCGCAGAAUCAAGAAAGCGAGAAGGAGAAGCAGAGUUUCGUGCGAUGAAGAGGAGGAGGACGAAGAUUUCUAUCCUGGAUCGGAGAAUAGCACCGGGGAUGAGGAGGAAGAGGAGGAGUUGGUUGUUGCGAGGAAUUCUGUUAAAAGGAAGGUGGCAGGAGUAAGGAGAAGGAAAGGUAGAAGAACGAUAGGUUCCGUCAAGAAGGUCCGGAAAUCUGCCGUCGAGAGGACGAGGAAGCGACGUAGUAGGAGAGUUGCUUCGUCGGAAGAAGAGGAGGAGGAGGAGGAGGAGGAGGAGGAGGAAGAGGAGGAGGAGGAGGACGAGUACGAGUACGACGAUGAUUUUGAGGAUGAAGAAGAGAAUACUAGCAGGAAGAGGAUAAGGUCAAGCCCUAAGGCCAAGAAGAAGAGAUCGAGCCAGAGAAAGAUGGCAGAAACUCCGUCCGAUUUAGAUUCUUUGUCAGAUGCGGAUUUCGUUGUGUCAGAUGAAGAAACUGAUAUUCCGAUGGAGGUACCGGAUGUGAUUUUAGCGACGCGCUCGAGACGCUCCCCUGGUCUAAAAGGGGAUCAGGUUAUGGGCGAUUCGGGUCCGCGAGAACAAAAUGGAAGGAUUGUGAAGUUCGUUGUUGAGGCGGACAGAAUUGGGUGUAAAGGCAAAGAGAAGCUUACAGAUUUUUGUAAGCAAGUAUGUGGGAUUUGUCUAUCGGAAGAACGGAAGGGCACUGUUCGUGGCAAGCUAAAUUGUUGCGAUCAUUUUUUCUGCUUCAUUUGUAUAAUGGAAUGGUCAAAGGUCGAAUCAAGGUGUCCGAUGUGCAAACAGCGGUUCGAGACUAUUGACAAAUUAUCAAACUCGGGGAUUUGCCUAAGGAAUGUAACGAUAAAUGUUCCAUGCAGGAAUCAGGUUUACCAACCUUCUGAAGAAGAGCUGAGGAGUUACCUUGAUCCCUAUGCCAAUAUAGUUUGUAUGGAGUGCCACCAAGGUGGUGAUGAUAACCUCAUGCUGCUUUGUGAUAUCUGUGAUUCCUCUGCUCACACUUAUUGUGUUGGUCUUGGGAUGGUAGUUCCUGAAGGCAAUUGGUACUGUGAAGGUUGUAAAGCUUCUGAUCCAGAAUCUUCCAAUUUGCGGCCACUGCGCAGUUCUGUACAAGAGCAGUUUGUUGAUUGCAUUUCAUAUCCUGAAAAUGCCAUUCAUAUUGAUGUUCCCUCACUUUUUGGCCCUAGUUCUCAAUGUUUAAGGACUUCAGUUAGCCAACCUUCCUGCCACAUAAAUGAUGCAGCUCCUAGGUUUCCUGUCUGUGGGGAUUCUGCAACUACUUCGCCUACUUUAGGAGCAGGUGCCUCUACUGUCAUGGGCAGACGCAGGUUACGGCGCCAGAUACACUCAAUGCUUACUAGUAAUAGAAUGAGUGAGAUGCCUAAUUUCAUUGAAGUAAGUAAUAGAUUAUUAAAUAGAAAUUAUAAUAGUAGUGCAAUCAGACCUGAGGAGCAGGAUCUUGGAGUGAAAGAGCAGCUUGGGAGAUCAAAAUGUGAUAGAUCUGAUGGUUACCUUUUUAAUGAGAGUGGCAGGUAUGCGAGUUCCACUGUAAUAGAUAGCUUUGGAGAAAGUUCGUCUCAGCAUCUGCAACACAUAAGUUACUUGUCUCCAAGCGUGAGCGGAUUGAGAACUACUGUUCAAUGCCCAAAUAGUUACACUUCUAAUAAUCUUUCUGAUGAAAAUAUCUCCACUUGUGAGCCUAAAGUAGCUCAUCCACGAGCAGUGUGGUACGAAGAAAUGCAAGAUCUGGAGGAACAACCUAGGAUUGUGCUGAAUGAUGAUGCAGACAGUUCGCAGGUGCAUGAUGCAAAAGAACAAGUUUGUGCAUUGGUUAAACCUCAUCUAAAAGCUUUGGUCAAAGAAGGCUAUAUAGGUAAGCUGGGCUAGGCAGAACCCUUGCCUGAUUAUGCCAGCAGAGAUGAACCUCAGAUAUUGGAACCUUAACCUUCUUCAACUUGAUAGUUCUGGAAGGUUUUCUCUAGGUAAGCUGGGUUAGGCAGAACCCUUGCCUGAUUAUGUCAGCAGAGGUGAACCUCAGCUAUUGGAACCUUAACCUUCUUCAACUUGAAGGUUUUAAGUUGAACUCUUUUGCCAGGUGAACAGAGAUUGGCAGCUUGGCGCUUGCCAAUAUUGUGGUCGACACUUAAGCAUCAAAUGUUGUCACAAUGUUACCAACAAGCAACAGCCUGCAGCCUUCAAAUCACAAAAUAAUUUGUUAGCUACCUGUAAUAUCACAUCAUUUAUUUUGAAGUUGUGGCAGCUUGAUUUAGCCAUAACCUCACCAUCUGAAUGAGCGUGGUGACUUCAAGGACAUUGCAAAACGAUCUACACACACAAUCCUAGCAGCCUACGGGAUCAAGUGCUCGAGAAGUCAAGCUGUAUCGGUUCAACCGCCAAACUGUGACCAUGCAACAGAUGGUUUUAGUUUGUG